GAGUUUGAUCAUGGCUCAGGAUGAACGCUGGCGGCGUGCCUAACACAUGCAAGUCGAACGGAUCCAUAUUGAAACCUAGUGAUGUAUGGAUUAGUGGCGGACGGGUGAGUAACGCGUGGAUAACCUGCCGUAUACAGGGGGAUAACACUUAGAAAUAGGUGCUAAUACCGCAUAAGCGCACGGUUCCGCAUGGAACAGUGUGAAAAACUCCGGUGGUAUACGAUGGAUCCGCGUCUGAUUAGCCAGUUGGCGGGGUAACGGCCCACCAAAGCGACGAUCAGUAGCCGGCCUGAGAGGGUGAACGGCCACAUUGGGACUGAGACACGGCCCAAACUCCUACGGGAGGCAGCAGUGGGGAAUAUUGCACAAUGGGGGAAACCCUGAUGCAGCGACGCCGCGUGAGUGAAGAAGUAUUUCGGUACGUAAAGCUCUAUCAGCAGGGAAGAAAAAAAGUCCUUUGGACUUUGGACGGUACCUGACUAAGAAGCCCCGGCUAGCUACGUGCCAGCAGCCGCGGUAAUACGUAGGGGGCAAGCGUUAUCCGGAUUUACUGGGUGUAAAGGGAGCGUAGACGGCAGCGCAAGUCUGGAGUGAAAUGCCGGGGCCCAACCCCGGAACUGCUUUGGAAACUGUGCAGCUGGAGUGCAGGAGAGGUAAGCGGAAUUCCUAGUGUAGCGGUGAAAUGCGUAGAUAUUAGGAGGAACACCAGUGGCGAAGGCGGCUUACUGGACUGUAACUGACGUUGAGGCUCGAAAGCGUGGGGAGCAAACAGGAUUAGAUACCCUGGUAGUCCACGCCGUAAACGAUGAUUACUAGGUGUCGGGGGGUCAAGGCCCUCCGGUGCCGCCGCAAACGCAUUAAGUAAUCCACCUGGGGAGUACGUUCGCAAGAAUGAAACUCAAAGGAAUUGACGG
rnacentral:rRNA from 1 species